rnacentral:rRNA from 1 species
AAAGAUUAAGCCAUGCAUGUCUAAGUACAUGUGUAUUUAACACGAAACCGCGUAUGGCUCAUUAUAACAGCUAAAAUUUACUUGAUUUUGACUUUUAUCCUACAUGGAUAACUGUGGUAAUUCUGGAGCUAAUACAUGCAUAAAAGAUGUUUCUUUAUUGAAACAUUGCGUAUAUUAGUAUUAAAACCAAGCAUUCUUCGGAAUGUUUUGUGUUGAAACUGAAUAUAUCUGCUGAUCGUAUGGUCUUGUACCGACGACAUGUCAUUCAAGUGUCUGAUCUAUCAACUUUCUAUAUAAGUAUAUAGUACUUAUAUGGUUUUGACGGAUAACGGGGUAUUAGGGUACGACUCCGGAGAAAAUGCCUGAGAAACGGCGUUUACAUCCGAGGAAGGCAGCAGGCGCGAAAAUUACCCACUCUCAGUACGAGGAGGUAGUGACGAGAAAUGACAAGAUCUAUUCCUUCGGGGAUGGAUCAUUGGAGUGGUUUGAUUUUAAAAUCAUUAAAGAGUAUCAAUGAGAGGGCAAGUCUGGUGCCAGCAGCCGCGGUAAUUCCAGUUCUCAUACUGCAUUGAAUUGUUGUUGCGGUUAAAAAGCUCGUAGUUGGAUCUGUACAUGAUAGGUUAGUUCAUCCUUUGGAUUGUAACUAAUACUAAAUGUUUUUUAUUAGAUUUUUUUAUAUUCGUAAGGAUAUAAAAUGUCUAAUGAGUCUACUUUGAAUAAAUCAGAGUGCUCAAAACAGGCGUAAGCUUGUAUGGUUUUGCAUGGAAUAAUAGAACAUGACUAUGGUUCAUGUUUUAUUGGUUUUACUUACCAUAGUAAUGAUUAAAAGGAACAAACGGGGGCAUCCGUAUCGCAGGGCGAGAGGUGAAAUUCGUGGACCCUUGCGAGACCAAACUACAGCCAAAGCAUUUGCCAAGAAUG